UGCUAUUGUAAAGAGUAUUUAAGCAGGUAAACUGCACAUACAUAUCUAUUGGCAUAUACAUACAUAUAUAAAAAGCAUGUGUAUGUGUAUGUUAAACUUGACACUAGUUGCAAGUACUGAGUUCCCGGAUACUACUCACAUGCUUUACUCACUUCGUUUGCUCUGACUGGCGUGCAAUCAAUUGCAUGCAAACUCGAAAGCACACAAAAAUGUUAAGCAAAAGUAAAGAGCAAAAACUACAUAGGGCACGUGAACGUGACGAAUACUUGUUUACUUCGAAUCGUUGUGAUAUACAUAUGUAUGUAUGUAUGCAUGUAUUCCGUGUGUAUUUCACUUUAACCCGAUUGUCAUAUACGCGUUUCCAUGAAGGUUGCUGUUCAAUUGGCUAUUGACAUUGGAAAGGGAACCAUUUGAGGUUUUCUGAGCAGAUGAAUAAGGAGCUAAGGACAAAGAUACAUGUAGUAAUAUUCUAUUAUCUAGUAUACAUAUGUAUGUAUGUAUAUGCCAGUAAUAUUCAUUCUAUUUCUCCGAUUUCUUUAAAUAGUACAUAAACAUUAUGUAAAUAUUGAAAGUAGCUUCACAAUUAACAAUUUUGCAAUUUGUAUGACAACUAAACAAAGUGCUUAAAAUUAUAUAAAUUUUAUAUGUUAUGUGUCAUACAAAAUUAUCAGUUCGCGCUCAGUGUUAUGAAGUAUUACUAGCAAAACAAAAUAUUUACAUACAUAUAAGAGCCUUAUCACACGAGGCAACUUUUGUUGCGGCAACUCUUGGUUUAUAGGCGAGGGGGCGACGAGGAGAGGGGAAUCGCGCCGAGUUUCCAGUGUUCAGCAACUCGCUUUGUGUUCUUAUUCGUAGCAGUUCGCUGCGACGUUUUUCGGCAUUCGUGUUCUUUCUUUCGUAGUACAUAGUUGCAUUUGCGUAUAUUUUUUUGAAAUUAAUAUUUUGAAUAUAUUUAAAAAAUUUAAUUUCAUCUUUUGGUAAGUAAUUUGCAAAUAUGUAUACAAAUAUUCAUAAUAUAAUAUAAAUAUUUUAGAAAAUGGAGUAUGAGGAAAAAAUCGAAUUAAUUAAAGAUAUUGUGAAAUGUAUGGAGGAAGCCAUACUUAUUGAUUCAGACGAUAGUAAAAAGGGUGAUAUAUCUUUGUUUUAAUAAAUAAAAUGUAUUUCUUAAUUGACAGAGCUGAUUAAUAUAUGUGAUAGAGUGGCCCAAAUACCUAUAAGGAAAAAGAAGAGACAAUGGGUUAAAGUAAAGUGAAAGAGAAUGAGAAAAAAACUCGAGCAGAGUUGCGCAACACAAGUUGCUCGUGUGAAGGUAAUGGGCGACAGCAAAAGAGAAUCGCCCGAGAAUUAGCAACUAAAGUUGCCUCAUGUAAUCGCAAACUAAUGUGCAAAAGAAUAGCAGCUUAAUAUCUUUGUGUUGUGUCCUUUAAUACGAACACCAUCCCUACAGUCACCUGCUAGGUGCGGAGUCGCCUUCCUGGAACAUCAGAACAUUUUUUCAAUACGUCGACGAAAUCAAACAAUAACAGUCCACAUUUCGGACGCGACUAACUUCCAACAGGCACUUCGUUCUGGGUAUUGUAGCAGAUUAAAUUCCUACAUUUCCAGAAUAGACCCAGACAUACAAAAUCUACAUACAUAUGUACAUAUGUCCUACAUACAACAAAUACCUGCGCAAUGCUAAUCACCUCCGAACCCGUCAAAACAGCUCCUGUCUUGGGUCCACUGAUUUCGAUCACAUCUAACAUAAUAUACAUAUUACUCUCCCCGAAACAUGGUUUUGAUAUUCGCUAAAGAAAAUGCGAAACUUAGAUGUAUUUGAUGAAAUGUUUUGUAAUGUGAUGCACCAAAGUAUGUACAAGUAUAUUAAUUUUCAAUGGAAAA